rnacentral:rRNA from 1 species
UACGAAGGGGGCUAGCGUUGCUCGGAAUUACUGGGCGUAAAGCGCACGUAGGCGGAUCUUUAAGUCAGGGGUGAAAUCCCAAGGCUCAACCUUGGAACUGCCUUUGAUACUGGGGAUCUUGAGUCCGGGAGAGGUGAGUGGAACUGCGAGUGUAGAGGUGAAAUUCGUAGAUAUUCGCAAGAACACCAGUGGCGAAGGCGGCUCACUGGCCCGGUACUGACGCUGAGGUGCGAAAGCGUGGGGAGCAAACAGGGAUUAAGAAACCCUUGUAACGUC